CCCGCUCAGAAACUACAAAGGAAGUUGACGGGGCCCGCACAAGCGGUGGAGCAUGUGGUUUAAUUCGAUGCAACGCGAAGAACCUUACCUGGUCUUGACAUCCCGGAGACCCUUAGGAAACUAGGGGUGCUUCCAUCUGGAAGAAUCUGGAGACAGGUGCUGCAUGGCUGUCGUCAGCUCGUGUCGUGAGAUGUUGGGUUAAGUCCCGCAACGAGCGCAACCCUUGCCUUUAGUUGCCAGCAGUUCGGCUGGGCACUCUAAAGGGACUGCCGGUGUUAAACCGGAGGAAGGUGGGGAUGACGUCAAGUCCUCAUGGCCUUUAUGACCAGGGCUACACACGUACUACAAUGGCCGAUACAAAGGGCAGCGACACUGCGAGGUGAAGCCAAUCCCGUAAAAUCGGUCUCAGUCCGGAUUGGAGUCUGCAACUCGACUCCAUGAAGUUGGAAUCGCUAGUAAUCGUGGAUCAGCAUGCCACGGUGAAUACGUUCCCGGGCCUU
rnacentral:rRNA from 1 species